AUUGAACGCUGGCGGCAGGCUUAACACAUGCAAGUCGAGCGGAGAUGAGGUGCUUGCACCUUAUCUUAGCGGCGGACGGGUGAGUAAUGCUUAGGAAUCUGCCUAUUAGUGGGGGACAACAUUCCGAAAGGAAUGCUAAUACCGCAUACGUCCUACGGGAGAAAGCAGGGGAUCUUCGGACCUUGCGCUAAUAGAUGAGCCUAGGUCGGAUUAGCUAGUUGGUGGGGUAAAGGCCUACCAAGGCGACGAUCUGUAGCGGGUCUGAGGGGAUGAUCCGCCACACUGGGAAUGGGACACGGCCCAGACUCCUACGGGAGGCAGCAGUGGGGAAUAUUGGACGAUGGGGGGAACCCUGAUCCAGCCAUGCCGCGUGUGUGAAGAAGGCCUUAUGGUUGUAAAGCACUUUAAGCGAGGAGGAGGCUACUGAGACUAAUACUCUUGGAUAGUGGACGUUACUCGCAGAAUAAGCACCGGCUAACUCUGUGCCAGCAGCCGCAGUAAAAC
rnacentral:rRNA from 1 species